UGGAUGAGAGCCACUCUGGCUAGCCAAGAAGACCGGCCCAUGCAGCCACAUUGCACAUCCUAUCACAAGAAUUUCUUUCAAAAACCCUUAAUCUGCCAUGGCAGAUAGAUAGAUGGAUGGAUGAGCCAACAGAGGGCAAAAGCAUAGGCAAGUCAUUCUUGGCUACCAAAGGGAGUAACCUCUCAAUC
rfam:Oryza sativa (indica cultivar-group) chromosome 11, whole genome shotgun sequence.